GGCCCCCCCGAGUAUGCAUUGCAGGUUCCUGAAAAUUAUUUCACUGCACAUAUGCGAAGCUUUUCUACAAAAAAAAAAAAGACUUUAUGGAAUCUGGUGCUUGUCGGAUUACUUUCUGAAGAAGUGCCUAUGCCGCCACAUGUCGUGUGAUGUACGCACUGGAUGCCAAUACAUUGAUGACGUCGCCGUGUGACUUGCAGAAUACGCGGAGUGCGGUCAGUUCCUCAGAGACUGUGGACUAACUCAUAAAGACGCUUUAAAAACGGUUCUGCGGCGGGCGUAACACCCAGUGCAGGAACCAGAAGGCGGAGGAGAAGAAUUCUUUUAAAGUGGCCCGAAAGGUGCAACACAACUCAUAAAUCAAAGCGGAUGUAGAAAGUGUCAGACAGACGAGUGAACUUAACAAUGUGCUUAACUGCGAAACCGGCGCUACGAUGUCCGUUGGUACCACUACAACAGGAGACUCAUCAUCACACCUGUUAGCCCUGGGUUCUUCGCCAAGGUGACCAACACUGAAACCAACAGCACACGCUUUGAGUUCCGGAAACAGCCAGAAGUUAGCUGGAGCCAAGUCAGGAGAGAUGGCGGAUGGUCCAUGGCAGAGAUGCAUUUUCCUGCUGAAAAACUACGACACCCGAAGUGAAGAGCGCCGGCGCGCUGUCGUGGUGAAGAGUCGAGUCAUCUCACCACAACUCUCCUCGCUUGCGCCUCACGGCAUCAACACUACACCUCCACGUAGAUUGUCUGAUUAACAGUGGUCCUUUCGGGCACAGAUUCGAAGUGGAUGUCCAAAAAGCAGGUCAACAUUGUUCUUCGAUCUCCACUCCUUGGACUGGCGUUUGGACAGCUGGAGAUUUCUGCGGUUUAACACAGAAUUUCACGUUCACUUUCCGUCCACAAUGAUAUGCAAAUACCGGACGAAACCGAA